CGGCGAGCGAGCGGGAAGAGCUCAAAUUUAUAAUCUGGCACCUUCGGUGUCCGAGUUGUAAUCUCUAGAAAUGUUUUCCGCGUUGGACCGCACACAAGUCUGUUGGAAUACAGCGGCAUAGUGGUGAGACCCCCGUAUAUGGUGCGGACGCCCAGCGCUUUGUGAUACAUUUUCGAAGAGUCGAGUUGUUUGGGAAUGCAGCUCAAAUUGGGUGGUAAAUUCCAUCUAAAGCUAAAUAUUGGCGAGAGACCGAUAGCGAACAAGUACCGUGAGGGAAAGAUGAAAAGCACUUUGGAAAGAGAGUUAACAGUACGUGAAAUUGUUGGAAGGGAAACGCUUGAAGUCAGACUUGCUUGCCGAGCAAUCGGUUUGCAGGCCAGCGUCAUUUUUCCGGGAUGGAUAAUGGUAGAGAGAAGGUAGCAGUUUCGGCUGUGUUAUAGCUCUCUGCUGGAUACAUCUUGGGGGACUGAGGAACGCAUUGUGCCUUUGGCGGGGGUUUCGACCUCUUCACACUUAGGAUGCUGGUGGAAUGGCUUUAAA
rnacentral:rRNA from 1 species